GACAGAGGUCCCGAGCGUUAGGCGGAAUCACUGGGCUUAAAGCGUGUGUAGGCGGAUCGUUAAGUGCCUUGUGAAAUCCCAUGGCUUAACCAUGGAACUGCUUGGCAUACUGGCGGUCUUGAGCCACUUAGGGGCAGCCGGAACAAAUGGUGGAGCGGUGAAAUGCGUAGAUAUCAUUUGGAACGCCAAUGGUGAAAACAGGUUGCUGGGAGUGUGCUGACGCUGAGACACGAAAGCCAGGGGGGCGAACGGG
rnacentral:rRNA from 1 species